AAACUAAACAUUUGAGUCACCUGUAGAUGCAGGGAUGGCUGAAGCAGUACACAGAGUUGUGGCCUUGCCUGGACUUUUUCGUAGCUCAAAAUAUUUUUUAUGCUGCCAGUCUGCUUUCACCCGUGCAGCGAGACAGAGGACACGUCCUCAGUGCUGUCUACCUGACCUAGUGUGAGCCCACAGACCCUGGCCUCAUCUUCCAGGAGGAAGGACAUCCAGAGGACCUGGAGAUGGUGCAGAGUGGGCAACACAGCUCAUUGGUUGCACAUUUGGGAAGGUUUCUGAGACAGCUUGGGCAGGAGGGAGGAGCCCUGGUCUGCGUAAGCAACUCUGGGCAGCCUUGGGGAGGCCGUGCGGUGAUCACAGACUCUCCGGAGUCUCACUGAGGCUCACCGAGGAUUGCAGAGCGCCCACCGAGUCCUGUGGGCUCACGUGUACACGGGGACAGCUGCCUUCUGCAGCCCCACCGUGAGGACCAAGUUUGACAGUGGACGGAGCACUGGAGGCAUGGCCUGUGGGCACUGGGCAGCCACUUUAUUUCUGGAGAUUGUUUCAUCAGACUGUGGCCUGUUUCCUUCACUUCUUAAAAGACUGCCGUCCCUGAGAACACUGCACCUGUUUAGUUGAUAGCUGUACGGGCCACUCGGCACAAGGCCUCACCAAGUCCUCAGGAGACCUCCUCUUUCACCUACCCUGUGCCACCUGUUUCAGGCUUUUUCUCUCAGGAGGCAGUAAGUAGUCCGUGGUAAGAUUUGGGGAUUAAGAACGUGAGAAUGUUUGUGCGGAUGACAGUGUGAGUGCAUCUACCCUCUCUCACCAGUCAGUCAAUCCUGGGCUUCAUUUCCUGCACUGAGCGAUCCCACCUGGCCUCCUGCAUUGUCCUGGGAGCCUUGCAUAGGUGUCCUCGGCAUAGCAACGUGGUCUGUAUGACAAGCUAGAGAACCUUCCAGCAUGGCGAAGGAGGACAAAGGGGCCACCCUGACUGGACUUUAAGGUGGAAACCACACUGCUGUUCUUCCUGGAGGGAGUGUGUGUCUCUUGGUUGGAGUCGCAGUGUGAUUCUGGCGCGGUCACGUAGACAAACAGGGUCCCGGGCAUAGGCGUGACACCACUGGGAAGCGCGCAGUGCAGCUAAGCUACAAGCAGCACAAGUAUAAGAGGAAGAGAUCUUCCGCUAAAGGAACGUCCUGAGUCACUUCCAGGGUGUUCGCGAGUCCCUUUCAACCCUGACCUUGCUGCCCUUUAUUGCUGGCUUUUCAGCUCUACCUGUCCCCUUGCUGUGGAGUCCUGUCCUUCCCCAUCACCAGAGCCUGCGCAGAGGUCUUUAGAAGAACCCCGGCAGCCGACAUGGGCGAGGAGGACCAGGCCUGCUCAGGGGUUUCACGCUGCUGUGGCAAAGCUGA